rnacentral:lncRNA from 1 species
UUGAUGAGUAGGAGGUUGUUGAUGUCUUUAAGCACCAAGUAUAUCACUCUAGUGAUAUUAUAUUUGUUUCCUCCAUAUUUGCAUGCACAUCUAUUUUUCCACAGGUUCCAACAAGUAAAGAUAUUGAUUUACUGCAAACAUCAAGGCCACAAGGUUCAUACAUGCAAUGUCAAGAGGAGAGAUGAUGAAUAUCGAAGAAGAAAGGUGGCGGAAGCAGCAAACAAGAACAAAACCAAAACAACACAAGGAAAUGACACUCAUGUAACUACUCUACCAAUUAAUUAUCAGCCUGUU